UUCUUUUCCAAUAUAUCAAAAGUACAACCUGCCCACUGAGAGCUUGAAGGGCUGCAGGAUUUAACUGUGCAAAGGUAGCAUAAUAAUUAGUUUUUUAAUUAAGGAAUGGAAUGAACGGUUAAAUAGUGUGUCGCUAUUAAUACAGUUUAGUUGAAAUUGAAUUGUAAGUGAAAAUGCUUACAUUUUUCUAAAAGACGAUAAGACCCUAUAGAUCUUGAUUACUAUAAUAUUUUUAAGUAAAGGUGUUUUUAAGUUCAAAGUAGUAUUUUUACUGGGGUGGUAGCAGAAAUCAACAAACUUCUUUAAUUUUUUUAACCUAAAAUUUGGAUAAAAAGAUACCUUAGGGAUAACAGCGUUAUAAAAUUUUAGAGAUCUAAUCGAUGAUUUAGUUUGCGACCUCGAUGUUGAAUUAGAGAGUUAGUAUUUAGCAGUAUAAAUAUUAAAUGGUCUGUUCGACCAUUAAUUCUCUACA
rnacentral:rRNA from 1 species